AGGCGGCGCGGGCCGCGCGCGGCCCGGAGCAGCGGGCACAGCCGCCUCAUCCCGCACACCGCCGCAGGCCGCGGCGCCGCCCGCCGCGCCGCUCCGCGCGCGCUGAUUGGCUCGGACGGCGGAGUGACAGCGCGCCCGGCCAAUGGGGAGUGAGGAGAGCGUGGCGGGGCUGGGGGUGUGUGAGGGGUGUGUCGGCCGCCAUGUUGAGUGUGGCGGUCAGAGGUCACGGGCUGUACCCUCACGGCACCGCCCUGCCCUCGCAGCUCACCGCGCUGCACUUUGGAACCGUAGAGUCGUAUCGACACAGUGCCAGGCUGCGCCAGGGGAGGGCCAGGUUGGACGUGAGCGGGGAUUUCCUCACAGAAAGGGUGGUUGGACUUUGGGCGGUGGAGUCACCUCCCUGCAGGUGGCACUUGGUGCCGCGCUCUGAUGGAGAAGUUCGGUCUGAAGUUGGACUUGAUGAUCUCAGAGGGCCUCUCCAACCGAAUUGAUUCAGUGAUUCUGUGAAUCAUCAGGAUUGGAAGAGACCUUUGGGAUCAUCCAGUCCAAGUUAGCAGCGUUACCCCUGAACCACAGCAAGGAAUGCCAGAUGUGGGCACAGAAACACCUCCAGGGGUGGUGACCCCACACAUCCUUGGGCAGCCUUGACAGUACAGGGAUAAAAUGUUUCUGUCUGUGUCAGAUUCCCAGGGCAGUGUCUUUGGAGACAGGAGUAGGGAAAACUUACUAUCUGCUUCAGCUGCUGCUUGGAAAAUGAAAACACAUCUCUGGCUGUCGGGACCUGAGGGCACCACGAGAUGUCAGUGGCCCUGCCCAGCCUCACCUGGGACCUUCUCCAUGGUUCAGGAGCCCCAUUCCACCUCAGCCUGGGGCUCUCAGACCCCUGCCCAGGCUGCAGGGGCCCCUCAUCCCAAACUCCUGCCCUUCUCCCCCGGAUCUGCCUUGCCACCAUGGACCUUUAUCCUUGAAAACGUUUAUUUCUGAAAACUGGAUGUUAUUAUUAGAAAAGUGGAGAUUGAAAGAGCCUAAUUGCACUUCAGUAAUUGUAAAUUCUGUCUCUGAGCAAAAAGACAAGCUAAUAAAAGAUGGAAAGUCAAUUUGA